rnacentral:rRNA from 1 species
UAAAGGUAUUCCGGUAGACGAUGGGGAUGCGUUCCAUUAGAUAGUAGGCGGGGUAACGGCCCACCUAGUCUUCGAUGGAUAGGGGUUCUGAGAGGAAGGUCCCCCACAUUGGAACUGAGACACGGUCCAAACUCCUACGGGAGGCAGCAGUGAGGAAUAUUGGUCAAUGGGCGAGAGCCUGAACCAGCCAAGCAGCGUGAAGGAUGACUGCCCUAUGGGUUGUAAACUUCUUUUAUAAAGGAAUAAAGUCGGGUAUGCAUACCCGUUUGCAUGUACUUUAUGAAUAAGGAUCGGCUAACUCCGUGCCAGCAGCCGCGGUAAUACGGAGGAUCCGAGCGUUAUCCGGAUUUAUUGGGUUUAAAGGGAGCGUAGAUGGAUGUUUAAGUCAGUUGUGAAAGUUUGCGGCUCAACCGUAAAAUUGCAGUUGAUACUGGAUAUCUUGAGUGCAGUUGAGGCAGGCGGAAUUCGUGGUGUAGCGGUGAAAUGCUUAGAUAUCACGAAGAACUCCGAUUGCGAAGGCAGCCUGCUAAGCUGCAACUGACAUUGAGGCUCGAAAGUGUGGGUAUCAAACAGGAUUAGAUACCCUGGUAGUCCACACGGUAAACGAUGAAUACUCGCUGUUUGCGAUAUACUGCAA